CAGUCGUACCGGCGGAUAAUCAGCCUUUCAGGUGCGAUACUGUGGGGCGUGAGGAGUUUAACCGCCUUCAUGUUUUGCAUAUUCGUGCACAUUUGGUGUACUUGUCCGUGUGGUUGGUUAACAUCAAUUUCGGGCACCAUAAAAUGAUUGGAGGAAUGUAGCUUUGAUCUCGUAUCGAAGUGUUAUAGACUCUGGUAG
rnacentral:rRNA from 1 species